rnacentral:rRNA from 1 species
AUUGAACGCUGGCGGAAUGCUUUACACAUGCAAGUCGAACGGUAGAGGGGGCAACCCCUCGAGAGUGGCGAACGGGUGAGUAAUAUAUCGGAACGUGCCCAGUCGUGGGGGAUAACGUAGCGAAAGUUACGCUAAUACCGCAUACGAUCUACGGAUGAAAGCGGGGGACUCGCAAGAGCCUCGCGCGAUUGGAGCGGCCGAUAUCAGAUUAGGUAGUUGGUGGGGUAAAGGCUCACCAAGCCAACGAUCUGUAGCUGGUCUGAGAGGACGACCAGCCACACUGGAACUGAGACACGGUCCAGACUCCUACGGGAGGCAGCAGUGGGGAAUUUUGGACAAUGGACGCAAGUCUGAUCCAGCCAUUCCGCGUGCAGGAUGAAGGCCCUCGGGUUGUAAACUGCUUUUGUACGGAACGAAAAAGGUCUCUAUUAAUACUAGGGGCUCAUGACGGUACCGUAAGAAUAAGCACCGGCUAACUACGUG